CAACGCUGGCGGCGCGCUUAACACAUGCAAGUCGAGCGAGAAAGGGGCAACCUGAGUACAGCGGCGUACGGGUGAGUAACACGUGGGUCAUCUACCUCUUUGGGGGGAAUAACCCUGGGAAACCGGGGCUAAUACCGCAUAAGCCUGAGAAGGGAAAGCCGAAAGGCGCAGAGAGAGGAGCCCGCGGCCGAUUAGCUAGUUGGUGAGGUAACGGCUCACCAAGGCGACGAUCGGUAGCCGGCCUGAGAGGGCACACGGCCACACUGGCACUGAAACACGGGCCAGACUCCUACGGGAGGCAGCAGUGGGGAAUCUUGCACAAUGGAGGCAACUCUGAUGCAGCGACGCCGCGUGAGCGAUGAAGCCCUUCGGGGUGUAAAGCUCUUUCGGCAGGAACGAUAAUGACGGUACCUGAAGAAGAAGCUGCGGCUAACUACGUGCCAGCAGCCGCGGUAAUACGUAGGCAGCGAGCGUUGUUCGGAAUAACUGGGCGUAAAGAGUGUGUANGCGGUGCUCUAAGUUCGGUGUGAAAUCUCCCGGCUUAACUGGGAGGGUGCGCCGGAAACUGGAGUGCUCGA
rnacentral:rRNA from 1 species